UCGAUCCGUCCGCACGACAGCGGCGCUUAUCUUGGAACUUUUCGAAAAUAAAAGCGACGCGAGUUUAUAUUCCUUCUGUGUAAGCUUUGUUACAUUAUCGCAUCAUCUUUGGGAACUUGGAUAAAGAAAAUUGAUAGUUUUGCUUCGAUUCCCAGCGUAUUGUAAACUUCGAUGAUGUUAUUGGAGAAGGUUUUCCUGGCGUCGACGCCAUAGGUCGCCAUUACUUCACGUAAGUUGUCGCCUUCGACGCACAAGUUGUACAUUGUCUUUCCACCUUUUUCUUUUUUAGCGAUUACUGCUCGAUUUACAGUUGGCAAGCCCUAAACAAUAUUAGUUAUAAUAUGAUGGUAUAUUUUUAUCAUUUUGAGCCCUUACUUUAAUAACAACAUUCGGUAUGAGGUCCUUUAACUCAUGCAUAUUGAAAUUCAAUCUAUAGCCAUGUUUCGAAUGAUUUGGAUGGACACACUCUGUCAAAAUCAACCGGACAAUCUUUGCCUUCCAUGUAAGUCGGGUCCAAACCAUCGCAACCAUAGGUAAAUUGUACAAUGUCUCCUUCGGCAUUACGGACCGAUCCGUCAUAAUGUACAACAAGAUCUUCCAAGGAUUUAACAAGACGUCGCUGCAUGUACCCGGUUUCAGCUGUUUUUACAGCAGUAUCAACUAAGCCUUCUCUGCCUCCCAUUGUAUGGAAGAAAAAUUCUGUGGGUGUUAAACCGGAAUAGAAACUGUUUUCAACAAAACCUUUAGCAGCUGGAGUACGUGCUAUAAAAAUUUAAUUUAAUUAGCUUUAAAAACGUAAUAACCGUUAAUAAAACUUACAAUUCCUGGCAAAAUGAGGCAAGGAUCUGUCUUCAAAUCCGUUCGGUACUCGUUUUCCGUUCAAGGCUUGUUGGCCCACACAAGCAAUCAUUUGUGAAAUGUUAAUAAAUGAACCUAAUAAUAACAAA